ACUUUAUUGUGACUGGUUCCUAGUUGGUGUGGAAUUCGGAAGUCACAGCUGGCGGCAAUGUUGAGAACAGGAGCAUGAUGGGAGCAGAUUUGGCGCACGUGCCCUCUGGUGUCCAGAGGUUGGCACACGCACAGAAGGAGUGGUUGGAGGAG